UACAGAGGGGGCAAGCGUUGUUCGGAAUUACUGGGCGUAAAGGGCGCGUAGGCGGCCAACUAAGUCGGAUGUGAAAUCCCCAGGCUUAACCUGGGAACUGCAUCCGAUACUGGAUGGCUUGAAUCCGGGAGAGGGAUGCAGAAUUCCAGGUGUAGCGGUGAAAUGCGUAGAUAUCUGGAGGAAUACCGGUGGCGAAGGCGGCAUCCUGGACCGGCAUUGACGCUGAGGAGCGAAAGCUAGGGGAGCAAACGGG
rnacentral:rRNA from 1 species